rnacentral:rRNA from 1 species
UCAAUAAGCGGAGGAAAAGAAACUAACAAGGAUUCCCCUAGUAACUGCGAGUGAAGCGGGAAAAGCUCAAAUUUAAAAUCUGGCGGUCUUUUGGUCGUCCGAGUUGUAAUCUAGAGAAGUGUUAUCCGCGCUGGACCGUGUACAAGUCUCCUGGAAUGGAGCAUCAUAGAGGGUGAGAAUCCCGUCUUUGACAUGGACUGCCAGGGCUUUGUGAUGCGCUCUCAAAGAGUCGAGUUGUUUGGGAAUGCAGCUCAAAAUGGGUGGUAAAUUCCAUCUAAAGCUAAAUAUUGGCGAGAGACCGAUAGCGAACAAGUACCGUGAGGGAAAGAUGAAAAGAACUUUGGAAAGAGAGUUAAACAGUACGUGAAAUUGCUGAAAGGGAAACGCUUGAAGUCAGUCGCGUUGGCCAGGGAUCAACCUUGCUUUUGCUUGGUGCACUUUCUGGUUUGACGGGCCAGCAUCAAUUUUGACUAUUGGAUAAAGGUUAAGGGAAUGUGGCAUCUUUGGAUGUGUUAUAGCUCUUGGUCGCAUACAAUGGUUGGGAUUGAGGAACUCAGCACGCCGCAAGGCCGGGUUUUAAACCACGUACGUGCUUAGGAUGCUGGCAAUAUGGCUUUAAUCGACCCGUCUUGAAACACGGACCAAGGAGUCUAACAUGCCUGCGAGUGUUUGGGUGGAAAACCCGAGCGCGUAAUGAAAGUGAAAAGUUGAGAUCCCUGUCGUGGGGAGCAUCGACGCCCGGACCAGACCUUUUGUGACGGUUCCGCGGUAGAGCAUGUAUGUUGGGACCCGAAAGAUGGUGAACUAUGCCUGAAUAGGGUGAAUCCAGAGGAAACUCUGGUGGAGGCUCGUAGCGAUUCUGACGUGCAAAUCGAUCGUCAAAUUUGGGUAUAGGGGCGAAAGACUAAUCGAACCAUCUAGUAGCUGGUUCCUGCCG